UACGGAGGGGGCUAGCGUUGUUCGGAAUUACUGGGCGUAAAGCGCACGUAGGCGGCUUUGUAAGUUAGAGGUGAAAGCCCGGGGCUCAACUCCGGAACAGCCUUUAAGACUGCAUCGCUUGAACACGGGAGAGGUGAGUGGAAUUCCGAGUGUAGAGGUGAAAUUCGUAGAUAUUCGGAAGAACACCAGUGGCGAAGGCGGCUCACUGGACCGUUGUUGACG
rnacentral:rRNA from 1 species